rnacentral:lncRNA from 1 species
GAAGGAUAAACGAACAUCUGUAGUAAAAAUACUUAAACAGUCGAAUGUACUUUUUCCUUUUCGAAAACCGUAUUGAGUUUUUGGCAGUAAGUCUUUAUUUUCUAUGUACCAUUCUAGCCGAUUUUUAAUAAGAUGCUCUGCUAUUUUCAUUAGAACCGGACUGAGAACGAUAGGACGAUAUGAUGAAAUAUCAGACGGAAUUUUACUAGGUUUGAGAAUUGGCAACACCACAUGACGUUUCCACAUCUGAGGAAUGUUUCCUGUUGUCAUUACGGAAUUGAUAAGAGAUAAAUAAUAAGAAUGAACAGUGGGACUAGCAUUAGAUAAAAAUGAGUAUGGGAUGCCAUCGAUACCUGGAGAUGAGUCUACAGUAUUAGAAAGGAUACCUUUCAAUUCCUCAAUAUUGAAAGGGAUUUUUAAUGACGUGUCAUCAGAGGUUAUAUUGGAUUCCACACGAAUUACCGGUUGUAAAGUAACUUCUUGAGGUACCCAGGGAGGAGCUAAUGUAUCUAUAAAUUCACCUGCUAAAUUAUCCGGGAUACGGGAAGUAGUGUGGUCGGAAAAUGCAGACCGGAAUCUCCUAAUAUUACGCCAAACAGCUGAAGGGGUGUAUUCGGUGAAAUGACAGAGCAAAAAUUAUGCCAACUCUCUCUUUUCUUCAGUUUAUAGAGUUUUCGAGUCUGUGUAAUGAUACUAGAGAGCUGCAGCUGUGCAUUCCGAGUCCCACCACGGAGGCAUUGGGAUCUUCCUAAAUGAAUGAUUAUUUUUACUGGGAAAGCAUCAUCUGCAGCGGAAACAAGAAUUUUAGCUAAUACUUCUGCACAAUCCUGCUCAUUUCCAUUAUUGACAAUUGGAAGAGAAGAUAGCUGAUUGUCAACAUAAUUUUUAUAAUUUAGCCAAGUGCUGCUCUUACUAUGUGGAAGUUUGUGUUUUAAGUGAGAUAUUCUAGGUUGUGAAUGUGGGAUUGGGAAUGGAAAAGAUAUUUUGAUAGGGAAAUGAUCACUACCAUAUGUUAAGGGAAGGGUGCACCAAGUGAGACGAGAAGCAAAGUUAGGAGUGCAGACAGAUAAAUCUAUUGCGCUAUUGUUCUGACUUGGAUCACUGCGACGUGUGGGGGAACCAGAAUUUAAUAUACAUAAAUUAUGUGUAUCAAAUAUAUUGAGUAGUUCUUCCCCAUAGGAGUUAGAAGUUGAACUACCCCAUGACUGGUGAUGGCAGUUAAAAUCACCUAACAGUAUAUAAGGAUUAGUAAGUGUGGAAAGAAUACUGUUAAUUUCAUUAAGUGAAGAAUGAGAAGGGUGAGAUAUAUAUACAGAUAUAAUACAUGUUUUAUUUAUAAUUAUAGCUAUGAUUGAGAUUUCUUCACUGUGUGAUGGUAGAGAAACCACAGUGAAAGGAAUUGAAUCCUUCACAAGUAUAGCUACUCCACCAUAUCCAUCUGGUCUAUCCUCUCUUACUGUUGUAUAACCAUUAAUUUUAAAUAUAUUAUUUGAUUUGAACCAUGUUUCACACAAGGCAAAAACUAAAGGUUCGUAUUUAUUUAUUAAAUAAAUAAUAUCACUUUUUUAUUUAUUGCGCUGCGGCAAUUCCAUUGGAUUAAAUGAACUUGAUUGUCCAUUUUGGGGUGAUAUCGAAGAAAUGAGACUAUGAAGUGAAGCAGCGUUGGACGGUGAUAUGUUAAAUGAGGAUAAAAGGUUAAUUAAUGCCGUAAUAAAUUCCAUGAUAUUGAAUUGUUUUACAGUAUUGUCUUUAAGUACUUCAUUGAUGGCACAGCCGUUAGUGGGCUCAGGAAUUCUAAAUUCUUUUAAAAUAUUGUUGUGGGCUUCCUUAUUAUACCCUUUAGAAGGGCUCUUGGGGGGCUGAGGUUUGCGAAAAACAGUUUUUAUAACUUGAAGAAUGUUGAUUGAAUGUAAUAGGUGAAGAAGUUUCAAUUUCUCUGGGAGUUUGAGAUAUAAGGGUGUCAGCAAAAGAUUUAGUCACUGGUGGGAGCAAUUUACUGGCUUCUGCAUAAGAUACAGAGUUCUGGGCCAUAUAGGUUUUUAUUUGUAUCUGCCUUGAGAGCUCAGGACAUACUUUACUAGUAGCAAAGUGAAAACCUGAGCAUAAGCAGCAAUUGGCAUUACGUUCAUCCCUGUCACAAGAGUCCCCAGUAUGGCUAUCGCCGCAUUUGUAACACCUUGGUUUGCUCCUACAUUGUAUUUUAGUGUGCCCAAACCGACAGCAAUAAAAGCACUGUAUAGUAGGGUAAAUAUAAAGGUCCACAGGCAUUGAAUUGUAGGACAUAAAAAUUCGUUUUGGAAGAACUUGGCCAUCAAAUGUGCAUACAAUGGUUUGAGAGGGCUUCCACACCAUAGAGCCGUCUACUAAAGUUUUAAAGUUUAAUCUGCGGACUUUUAAAAUAGGUCCACAACCAAUUGGUACAGAUGAAUUUUCUAUUAUCUCUUCCGGAGACCACUCUACUGGCACACCACGCACUAAACCCAUUCUAGUUACGUUAAAAGACGGAAUGAAUGCCUUAUAAUUAAAUUUAGACAGAUUUUCAUGAGUAAUAAAAGAGUUGGCGUCAAUAAAUGUAGAAAAAGCCAAA